rnacentral:lncRNA from 1 species
AGACAUUUAUGAUAAUUACUUUUUUGCUUCUUUCUUUUUUGGAAAAUGUUAAGGCUGCAAUGACCAAAUCUUGUGAUGGAACCAAGAGGGAAGAACUUUUAUAUGACCACCUUGCUAAUAAGGACAAUUUUUGGUUUGAUUUCAUGGCGGACACUGGUGAUGGUGGGAAUUCAUCAUACGCUGUAGCGAAACUUCUUGCUCAGCCUACUCUCCAAGUCUCGGUGGAUGGUGAAACUAGACCGUUGCCUCGGGGUAAUGUACUGAUUAUUGGAGGAGAUCUUGCGUAAGUGCUUUACAUAUUCUCUAGCUUUCGGCAGUUCUAAAUGUAACCGCUGAUGUCUUUUCGAUGUUGUACCUCAGGUACCCCAAUCCAUCAGCGUUUACAUAUGAAAAACGUCUCUUUUGUCCAUUUGAGUAUGCGCUACAGCCUCCCCAUUGGUAUAAAAAUGACUCUAUUGCCGUUGACAAGCCAGAAUUACCUGAGGGAGUGAAAGAUCUAAAGGAUUAUGAUGGUCCCCAAUGUUUUCUCAUCCCUGGAAACCAUGGUGAGUUCCAGGCCCCAUCUUCAUUUUGGUUUGUUCUCCCAUUUCCUCUGACUAUACCAUUUUUGUUUAUUUAUUUCCUAGACUGGUUUGACGGACUCAAUACAUUCAUGAGGUAUAUAUGCCAUAAGAGUUGGUUAGGCGGCUGGUUAAUGCCCCAGAAGAAAAGCUAUUUUGCGUUGCAGCUACCUAAGGGAUGGUGGGUGUUUGGUUUGGAUCUUGCACUUCAUGGUGAUAUUGAUGUUGACCAGUUCAAAUUCUUCGCCGAAUUGGUGAAGGAGAAGGUAACUUUUUUUUAUAUCAUAUUCUAGAUUAUAGUGGCUUUGUCUUUUCAGAUUAUUCAAUUUUCUUAAAGUAUAAAUAUUUUUCCUCAAUUAGGUUAAGGAGGAUGAUGCGGUGAUCAUUAUCACGCAUGAACCCAGCUGGCUUCUUGAUUGGUACUGGAGCAGCGAUACAGGGCAGAAUCUUUGUGGUAAUUUGAUUCUUCUUUCUGCGGCCAGACAUUUAUGAUAAUUACUUUUUUGCUUCUUUCUUUUUUGGAAAAUGUUAAGGCUGCAAUGACCAAAUCUUGUGAUGGAACCAAGAGGGAAGAACUUUUAUAUGACCACCUUGCUAAUAAGGACAAUUUUUGGUUUGAUUUCAUGGCGGACACUGGUGAUGGUGGGAAUUCAUCAUACGCUGUAGCGAAACUUCUUGCUCAGCCUACUCUCCAAGUCUCGGUGGAUGGUGAAACUAGACCGUUGCCUCGGGGUAAUGUACUGAUUAUUGGAGGA